UCAUACUGAAACGCGACCCGGCCGCCGCGCCCCGCGCCCCACGGCGGGUUGGUCAACGACACCUUCUCGUAACUCAUGAGGCCCUGGUACUUGUGUAGCGCUAAAUUCAAUUUUUAAAGAGUUUUUUUCUCGAUUUUAGCCACCGUAGCCUAUGGAGACUAACAAGUAACGCUAAGCGGUAUUCGUAGGCAAUGGAUGUUCCUAUAUUAAGGGUGUCACAUGUGCGUUUCUGACUUAUGAUGCAAUUGUUCCUACAAUACAAUACGACCGCGGCGAGCUGUACUGAGGCCUACCGAGAGCAGACAAAUGCGAGCGGGUGGGCAGCGUACUCGAAUGCACGCGAUCACAGUCGCGGUACAGCCCACACUGCCGCCACCGUAUUCCCCCGUAUUUUAUGCUAAUGUGUGCGUGGCAGCGCGUGCGUACACGGCGUCCGGCGCGCACGCACACAUUCAAGCCGGCAGCGGCACAUUUCUAUGAAGAUUCACUACUGUUCUUGUACUGUGAUAAAGAUUGUCAAAGGACUGCCUCAUUUCAAACAUAGACAGAGAGAAUCAUACUAUUUUUGUCUUACACUAGCACUAGCACCAAAAGAAAAGGAUGAGUAUAGUUUAUUUGUUCUUAUUUACUGACAAAUUUGUAAAAUUUGAUUCCGAUGUACAAUUUUUCCUCUUGGGUGAAAAGAUACUCGAUAACAAAUAUGUGACGUUCCACGGCAAAAGGUAGCUUUACCCGUGGGACGUCACAUAUUACUUUGACAUUUAUGUGAAACAGCAAUGGAUAGCCGUAGCUACUUUAAGUUUUGUUCUGGAAGACUAAAUACCUAAUUAUAAUAUAGAGAAUACUCUGUUAAUA